rnacentral:rRNA from 1 species
AUUGAACGCUGGCGGCGUGCUUAACACAUGCAAGUCGUGCGGUAACAGGCGUAGCAAUACGUGCUGACGAGCGGCGAACGGGUGCGUAAUACAUGGGAAUCUGCCCUUUAGUGGGGAAUAACCCGGCGAAAGCCGGGCUAAUGCCGCAUAAGAUCUUCGGAUGAAAGCGGGGGAUCGUAAGACCUCGCGCUGAUGGAUGAGCCCAUGUCGGAUUAGCAGUUGGUGAGGUAACGGCUCACCAAGGCGACGAUCCGUAGCUGGUCUGAGAGGACGGCCAGCCACACUGGGACUGAGACACGGCCCAGACUCCUACGGGAGGCAGCAGUGGGGAAUAUUGGACAAUGGGCGAAAGCCUGAUCCAGCGACGCCGCGUGUGUGAAGAAGGCCUGCGGGUUGUAAAGCACUUUCGA